rnacentral:rRNA from 1 species
UAGGGAAUUUUCGGCAAUGGGCGAAAGCCUGACCGAGCAACGCCGCGUGAGUGAAGAAGGCCUUCGGGUUGUAAAGCUCUGUUGUGAAGGAAGAACGGCUCAUACAGGGAAUGGUAUGGGAGUGACGGUACUUUACCAGAAAGCCACGGCUAACUACGUGCC